rnacentral:rRNA from 14 species
UCAAAUGAACCGGCGUGAUAGACGGUUUACUAAGAAAAAAAGAAGAGUGUUCAAAGUAGGCUUAUGCUGUGGAAUAUGUCAGCAUGGAAUGAUAAUAUAGGACCUUAGUACUAUUUUGGUGGUUUGCGCACCGAGGUAAUGAUUAAGAGGG